CUGAACUCAAUGCCAAAGUAAAGACUUUACAACUUAUGCCGUCAUUGCCUUCAUUAACCAUCACGGGUGAACUUGAACACAUCGGGUGAGGAACAGAACCAUACAAGGCUAAAGCCCGAAAAGGAGACCCAUAACCAUUCAAGGUGAAAAACUUAGGCAGGCAAAAAUCCCGGAUAAACAACAAAAAUAGAGAAUCAUGAAAGGACAAAGGCCAGCAACAAGAAACGGAGUCGCGGAAACACAAAGUAGUCCGCACCAUUGGUACUGUGAGGGCAAUGAUACUUCUAAUUGACAAACGUUCUACUUAUGCCAUUCCCUCUCAGCUACCCUCUCAACAAGCAGAGAACAAAUACUCGCGCCUCUAAAAUGACGAACGUCCAAGCUGGCCAACAAUGGAUACUUCUUUCAUUCAGCACAGACAGCAGGCAGAUUUCAAUCAAAGAAAACCUUCCCUUUUGACGCGCACAACUUGCAUGCAACACCACAACAAACCAAAACAAACAUAUACAGUUAAUUCUACCCAAACCCUCUUAGAUCUGCUGCUUCAAAAGCUUAUUUAUACACACAACCUUGCCCAGACGCAAGGAAGAUACAUCCACUUUUGAGACUGAAGAGAUCGGGCAGGGAAAAUCACUGAAAAACGGUGAAAGAGGCCAAGUACCUCAAGGUAAAGAGACUGGACGAGAGGAAAAGAGAGAGAAAGCAGCCCAAAUAGAAAAUGGAGAGAUAGAAAGACUGGUCCCUUAUCAUACAAUUUCACUAGGUUACAUUCCCCACCAUUUUCACUUUUUAUUUUGCACUUUUUUGGAGGGCAAGCUCAAGAAUUAGGCACAGCCAGUCGGACUAACUGGCGAGGAACAAAGGAAAAGAGAACCUAGCUAAGAUCAGCACAUCAGCUGCCACAUAGAUACAAAUAGGAUUAGAUGACACGAGGCACCAAUAACUCAAUAUGGCAUCAGUACAAAAAUAUAUUGAAAAAACAAAUCGUAAACUACAAAAUAAUAUGUACAUUACACGAGGCAGAAAAUCACAGGCAUGCAAGAAGCCUCAGUGUGCGCCCUCAG
rnacentral:misc_RNA from 1 species